AUUGAACGCUGGCGGAAUGCUUUACACAUGCAAGUCGAGCGGCAGCGCGGGGCAACCUGGCGGCGAGCGGCGAACGGGUGAGUAAUGCAUCGGAACAUGUCCAUGUCGUGGGGGAUAGCCCGGCGAAAGCCGGAUUAAUACCGCAUACGCCCGAGAGGGGAAAGCCGGGGACCGCAAGGCCUGGCGCGAUUGGGUUGGCCGAUGUCCGAUUAGCUAGUUGGUGGGUAAAGGCCCACCAAGGCGAUGAUCGGUAGCUGGUCUGAGAGGAUGAUCAGCCACACUGGGACUGAGACACGGCCCAGACUCCUACGGGAGGCAGCAGUGGGAAUUUUGGACAAUGGGGAAA
rnacentral:rRNA from 1 species